rnacentral:misc_RNA from 1 species
AGUCACCAAAAUCUCAUCAAACUACCACACUCAAGAUCCCAAACCCCCCAUAUUUCCACUUUCAACGCUACUACUCGUUAUCUUUUUCAAAAAAAGAAAUGUUGCAUCUACACCUAUUUUAAGAUCUAUACCAAUCUAACUCGAGAAUUAAAUAAUACUCCUUUAGUUCUUAAAGAUGAGGAAGAUGACGAAGAUAUUGAUUUUGAAGAUGAG